GGGUUUUCCUUUUUUUCCCCGCCCGGGACGGUGCGCCCAGCCGGGGAGCUCGCACAGGGGACUUUGGCAAAUACUGUUUUCAAAGGAGGAGGCAGGGAGCUGGCACAGCGAAACGUGUAGGAGGUAUUAAGAGCUUAGGGCGGGGUUUGCUUGAGGACAUAAAAAAGGGGGAAAAAAACAGGAUAAAGGUGCUAGUAAAGUUUGCAGCGAAAGAAAGAUCAGAAAGGUUUUUUAAAAAAGUCAUUACAGACUCUUGGAAAUGUUUUUUCCAUAGGAAGACAGCACUGUGAAUAAAAAUGACACUAAAUGUUGCAGGAGGCGCAGACUCGCAAAGGGUAACGGCUGGGACCGCUGCGACAGACGUAGCACUGAGGCGCUCCUGCUAUUUUUAGAGAUGAACACGCAAUUAAUCAAAACGCAGGUUUCCGAACUUUCAGUGACGGGAAAUGGCUCCUUCCGACUCACAGUGGAUGUCUUCCCUGCCUUCUGCAUAUGAAUUUUUGUUUUCAUUCAGAAUAGGCAAGUGACCUGUAUUGCUGCACAGAUUUUUUGAAACCAAAUAACAUUUUAUAUUUUUACCAAAAUACCUGUGGAGCUGACAGAGCAUGAUGCAUUCAUUUUCCUUGAUUUUGUAGUGAGGGAAAAGGCUAGCAUGAAUAAUUCAAAAAUAAUGCUGAGACUGUUAAGAUUUAGUACUGGAGAGGUCAUCACAGUUGGGAGAAUGAGCUAGGAGACUAUUACUAUUCCACGAUCUUUGAAUCUCAAGGUGACAUCAUUAUUAUUUCUCUAUAUCUAUAAUGUGGUGCUGCAACCAACUUAUUGCAGUGUUUCUCAUGUAGGGUAGAAAGAUCAAUUACAUACAGACCUCAAAAUGUGAACUAUAAGCAUAGUGUCCAAUAAAACUGUCAUUAACAGUCACCACAAUUUUAACUGUAUGCUUCCAGGUCAAGCUGUUUUAAAAAUGAUAACUGACAUUGAAAGGUUGAAUAAAGAGCACUCGUUCUAAAGGGAACAGUUUUUCACCCAAAUAAGUUUUCAUUAACAAAUCUGCUAAUUCUUUUCUUGAGUUUACAGAAGCAUUCAAUAUUGCACUUAUUCGUUUCAUUGUUUCUGUUAAGCAUAUUCACAGACAACCCUGAAAAAUCGUAAGUUUUCCACAUGAUCAGCAUCAACAGUAGUAUUGUCGAAUGCAGAUAAAGCAUCCCUGUGCAAUUUGAUUUAAUUUAUUCCUGCCUUCGACAGGAAACUGAAAGAUAUUACUGAAAUGGAAGUUGUAUUAGAGCAGCGGUUGGUGCAUUACUUUAACUAUUACCUCGCCUUUCGAUGUGCUGUUACCGUCAUGCCUGUGGAAGCAUACAGUAUCCAAAAUAAACAAAUCACGAAUAUGCAAAAGUAACGUAUGCCAGGAAACAGCCGCUCGUACUUCAGAAGUCCCUCUCCAUUGGAUAAGCGCCGCCUUGUAUGUUUAAUUAAACACUCGUUUCCCGUGGAGAAUAUUCCUCAAGACUGUCACUUCUCCAAUAAACACUUCUCCUACUUG